UACGGGGGGGCGGAAGCGUUGUUCGGAAUUACUGGGCGUAAAGGGCUCGUAGGCGGCCAACUAAGUCAGACGUGAAAUCCCUCGGCUUAACCGGGGAACUGCGUCUGAUACUGGAUGGCUGGAGUUUGGGAGAGGGAUGCGGAAUUCCAGGUGUAGCGGUGAAAUGCGUAGAUAUCUGGAGGAACACCGGUGGCGAAGGCGGCAUCCUGGACCGGUAUUGACGCUGAGGAGCGAAAGCCAGGGGAGCAAAGCGGG
rnacentral:rRNA from 1 species